rnacentral:rRNA from 1 species
UGAGCAACCUGCCCUUGACCCUGGAAUAACAGCUGGAAACAGCUGCUAAUACCGGAUACGACCUUCGAUGGCAUCAUCUGGAGGUGGAAAGCUCCGACGGUCAAGGAUGGGCUCGCGGCCUAUCAGCUUGUUGGUGAGGUAACGGCUCACCAAGGCUUCGACGGGUAGCCGGCCUGAGAGGGCGACCGGCCACACUGGGACUGAGAUAUGGCCCAGACCUCUACGGGAGG